rnacentral:rRNA from 1 species
UACGUAGGGGGCAAGCGUUGUCCGGAUUUAUUGGGCGUAAAGAGCGUGUAGGCGGCUAUACAGGUCCGUUGUGAAAACUCGAGGCUCAACCUCGAGACGCCGAUGGAAACCGUAUGGCUAGAGUCCGGAAGAGGAGAGCGGAAUUCCUGGUGUAGCGGUGAAAUGCGCAGAUAUCAGGAGGAACACCAAUGGCGAAGGCAGCUCGCUGGGACGGUACUGACGCUGAGACGCGAAGGCGUGGGGAGCAAACAGG